rnacentral:tRNA from 1 species
GUGAGCGUAGCUCAAUCGGAUAGAGCACUGGACUGUGGCUCCAGGCGCUGGGGGUUCGAGUCCCCUCGCUCACCCCA